rnacentral:rRNA from 1 species
UCCUACGGGGCGCAGCAGUGGGGAAUAUUGCACAAUGGGGGGAACCCUGAUGCAGCGACGCCGCGUGGGUGAAGGAGCACCUCGGUGCGUAAAGCCCUAUCGGCAGGGAAGAAAAGCGAACAGGUUCGCCUGGACGGUACCUGACUAAGAAGCCCCGGCUAACUACGUGCCAGCAGCCGCGGGAAUACGUAGGGGGCAAGCGUUAUCCGGAUUCACUUGGUGUAAAGGGAGCGUAGACGGCGACGCCAGUCUGGAGUGAACGCCCGUGGCUCAACCCCGGG